UUUAAUUACCCAAAAACCAAAAUUCCUUACAAAAACCCCAAUUAUUUGCAUAUUUUCGGCGGUUUUGUAAAAUCCGUCGUUAUUUUUAAUCCAUUUUAUUAAUUUAAUUAUAAAACCCUAAUUUAUAAUAUUAAAAUCGAAAAACGGCAAAUGCGUACAAUUAAUAUAAUUGGUAAUUAUAUUCCGGCCAUUAUUUUGUUUUUAAUAUUAAUAAUUAACGUACGCAAAAUUUAAUAAUAAAACGAAAACCGACGUUUUAUUAAUUAUAUUAUUUUCGUCGAAAAACGUUAAAAUAUCCAAUACAAAUAUCGAAACGAAACGGAAAUAAAAUUUUCCCAUUCGACAAAUUUUAUCCGAACAAAAAUUAUUUAUUUUUUGCGGCGGUUCGGUUAUUUACGCGAAAUAAUCAAAAAACCAAAAAAAUAUAACCGUUAUCGUUUCGUAUACCAAAAAUUAUUUUAUAACGGGAAAAACGAUAAUUUCGGGCAAACGUAUCCGCGUAAUAUAUUCCAAUAAUAUUUAAAAUAUAUUAAUAAAAAUUAUAAAAAUUCGAAUUUAUAAUAUUUAUUUUUCGAAAUAUCCGAUUUUUUACCCAAUUAAAUAAAAUACCUCGUAUUUCGAAAAUUUUCCAAAUAACGGGUUUUAAUUAUUUCAAACAAAUUAAAUAACCACAAAUUUGCAAUUAUAUAUUAACGUUCCAUAUUAACGGAAUAAUAAUAUUAAUAUAAUAAUUAUAAUACAAAUUAAAACCGGUAUUGGAAAUAUUAAUAUUUAAAACGCAAACGUCGAAAAAAAAAUUCGAAUCGGUAAAAUCGGUUAUUAUUUUAUUACGUUCGGUUUAAAAUAAACCAGCCCGGAUAAUAAUAACGCCGAAAUUGGUUUUUUCCAAAAUAGCCGCGAUUAAAUUACAAAAAUUAACCAAUAUAUUAACAAUUAUAAUAAUUGUUAUAAAAAAUAUAAAUAAACAAUUGUAACAAUUAUUACAAUUGUAAAAAGGAAAUUAUAAUAAUAAUUAUAAUAAAAAAAUUUACGCCUGGAUUUAUAAAUUCGGAAUUAUAACCAAAACCCGCUAAUUUUGUUUUUUUUUAUACAAAUUUUUAUAAUCCUGGUGAUAAACGGUAAUUUAUUUAAUAUAAAAUAAAUUAUUUCGGUUUUAUUAAAUAAAAAUAAUAUUUUUGGAUUUAUAUAUAUUUUGGAAUAUAUCCAGUUAAAAUAUCCGUCGCCGUUAUAUUAAAUAAACGCGUUUACAAUUACCGAUCCAAAACGGGUUUUAUUUUCCGAAAAGUUUUUUUUAAUAUUUUAACGGAUUUGGCGAUAUUUGGUUUUAAAAUUAAUAUUUUUUAAAAUUAACAAUUUCCCCAAUUCGGUUAAAUCGGUAUUCCGGAUAUUAUUUUCGGCGUAUAUUAUAAAUUAAAAAAAAUAAUUUAUUACCAAAAAUUGCAAAAAUUAUAUAAACCCCAUAUUUAAUAAUACCGAUAUUUUACGCCCUAAAUCCGCUUUAUUUCCGUCCAAAUUAUCCCUAAACGGGGCGGAAUCGAUAUUAUUUAUAUUUUCCCCUAUGAAAAAAAUUAAAAUAUUUUUUAAAAUCGCCUUUAUAUUUUUUAUUACGUCCCCAAAACGAUAAUCGAAUUGGAAUUUUUUAAUAAUAAUAUUAUAAAAAGGGAUUUUUUCGCGAAAAUAAAUAAUUGUGCAAUUCGGCAACGUUAAACCCAAAUCCAUUUCGCGGCGUAUAAUAAAUAUAUCCGUAUUUUGGAAAAUAAAAAAUAAUUUCGCGUUUAAAAUAAUUGUUGGAAUAAUUAAUUCCAAAAUAUAAAAAUGUACCAACCAUUAUUUCCAACCUAUAAAUUCGAAUUUUUAAAACGAGGUUUUAAUAUUAUUAUCGAUAUUUAAAAUAACGAAAAUAAAAUGGAAAUUUGUUACGUAUAAAUUUAUUAGUGCCUAGAUGCUAGCGUACAACCUUAGGGGCUGGGUUUUGCUAAACCUAUAAAUUCGCGUUACGUAAACGCAAUAGGAACGCCGCUUAUAAAUAGGGAUUCCUAAAUCCUAAAAAUAACAGGUUAAUCCUAAAUUUUUAAAAAUUAAUUUUUAAUCCAAAUGUUAUUGUUAUAAUGCUGUCGUGGAUUAUUAUACGCUAUAUUAUUACCCUAUAUAUUAUUAAUUACCGUGUACCUAACCUGUACCCAAUCCACGGUUAUAACAAUUUUAAUUUUUUUAAUUGGGUUAUUUAUACGAUAACCGAUAAUAAU
rnacentral:sRNA from 1 species